UACGGAGGGUGCAAGCGUUAUCCGGAUUCAUUGGGUUUAAAGGGUGCGUAGGUGGGAAGGUAAGUCAGUGGUGAAAUCCCCGAGCUUAACUUGGGAACUGCCAUUGAUACUAUCUUUCUUGAAUACCUUGGAGGUGAGCGGAAUAUGUCAUGUAGCGGUGAAAUGCUUAGAUAUGACAUAGAACACCAAUUGCGAAGGCAGCUCACUACACGGUCAUUGACACUGAGGCACGAAAGCGUGGGGAUCAAACAGG
rnacentral:rRNA from 1 species